GGGGCUGUAUUUUAAGUUAAAAUAUGUGUUUUGCGUAUACAAGAUUUGUGCUCUA
rnacentral:tRNA from 1 species